rnacentral:rRNA from 1 species
UACGUAGGGGGCAAGCGUUGUCCGGAUUUAUUGGGCGUAAAGAGCGUGUAGGCGGCCUGAAAGGUCAGCUGUGAAAACUCGAGGCUCAACCUCGAGACGUCGGUUGAAACCAUCUGGCUAGAGUCCGGAAGAGGAGUGUGGAAUUCCCGGUGUAGCGGUGAAAUGCGCGGAUAUCGGGAAGAACACCCGUGGCGAAGGCGGCACUCUGGGACGGUACUGACGCUGAGGAGCGAAAGCGUGGGGAGCGAACAGG